rnacentral:rRNA from 1 species
GAUGAACGCUGGCGGCGUGCCUAAUACAUGCAAGUCGAGCGAACAGAUAAGGAGCUUGCUCCUUUGACGUUAGCGGCGGACGGGUGAGUAACACGUGGGGAACCUACCUAUAAGACUGGGAUAACUUCGGGAAACCGGAGCUAAUAUCGGAUAACAUUUGGAACCGCAUGGUUCUAAAGUGAAAGAUGGUUUUGCUAUCACUUAUAGAUGGACCCGCGCCGUAUUAGCUAGUUGGUAAGGUAACGGCUUACCAAGGCGACGAUACGUACCCGACCUGAGAGGGUGACGGGCCACACUGGAACUGGGACACGGUCCAGACUCCUACGGGAGGCGGCAGUAGGGAAUCUUCGGCAAUGGGCGAAAGCCUACCGGGGAAACGCCGCGGAAGUAAUGAAGGGUUUCGGCUCGUAAAACUCUGUUAUUAGGGAAGAACAAAUGUGUAAGUAACUGUGCACGUCUUGACGGUACCUAAUCAGAAAGCCACGGCUAACUACGUG